rnacentral:misc_RNA from 1 species
GAUGAAGAACGCAGCGAAAUGCGAUACGUAAUGUGAAUUGCAGAAUUCAGUGAAUCAUCGAAUCUUUGAACGCACAUUGCGCCCCCUGGUAUUCCGGGGGGCAUGCCUGUCCGAGCGUCAUUGCAACCCUCAAGCGCGGCUUGUGUGUUGGGCUUCGUCCCCCCGUGGACGUGCCCGAAAGGCAGUGGCGGCGUCCCGAAUGGUGCCCGAGCGUAUGGGAACUCUCUUCCGCUCGAACCGGCCCAUUCGGCGCUGGUCGAACCCCAAUUUUUUUUUACCGGUUGACCUCGGAUCAGGUAGGGAUACCCGCUGAACUUAAGCAUAUCAAUAAGCGGAGGA